rnacentral:rRNA from 1 species
CGGAGCUGAAAUCAGUCGAAGAUACCAGCUGGCUGCAACUGUUUAUUAAAAACACAGCACUGUGCAAACACGAAAGUGGACGUAUACGGUGUGACGCCUGCCCGGUGCCGGAAGGUUAAUUGAUGGGGUUAGCGGCAACGCGAAGCUCUUGAUCGAAGCCCCGGUAAACGGCGGCCGUAACUAUAACGGUCCUAAGGUAGCGAAAUUCCUUGUCGGGUAAGUUCCGACCUGCACGAAUGGCGUAAUGAUGGCCAGGCUGUCUCCACCCGAGACUCAGUGAAAUUGAACUCGCUGUGAAGAUGCAGUGUACCCGCGGCAAGACGGAAAGACCCCGUGAACCUUUACUAUAGCUUGACACUGAACACUGGUCCUUGAUGUGUAGGAUAGGUGGGAGGCUUUGAAGCGUGGACGCCAGUCUGCGUGGAGCCGUCCUUGAAAUACCACCCUUUAAUGGCUGGUGUUCUAACGUGGACCCGUGAUCCGGGUUGCGGACAGUGUCUGGUGGGUAGUUUGACUGGGGCGGUCUCCUCCCAAAGAGUAACGGAGGAGCACGAAGGUUAGCUAAUCCUGGUCGGACAUCAGGAGGUUAGUGCAAUGGCAUAAGCUAGCUUGACUGCGAGAGUGACGGCUCGAGCAGGUGCGAAAGCAGGUCAUAGUGAUCCGGUGGUUCUGAAUGGAAGGGCCAUCGCUCAACGGAUAAAAGGUACUCCGGGGAUAACAGGCUGAUACCGCCCAAGAGUUCAUAUCGACGGCGGUGUUUGGCACCUCGAUGUCGGCUCAUCACAUCCUGGGGCUGAAGUAGGUCCCAAGGGUAUGGCUGUUCGCCAUUUAAAGUGGUACGCGAGCUGGGUUUAGAACGUCGUGAGACAGUUCGGUCCCUAUCUGCCGUGGGCGCUGGAGAAUUGAGGGGGGCUGCUCCUAGUACGAGAGGACCGGAGUGGACGCAUCACUGGUGUUCGGGUUGUCAUGCCAAUGGCACUGCCCGGUAGCUAAAUGCGGAAGAGAUAAGUGCUGAAAGCAUCUAAGCACGAAACUUGCCCCGAGAUGAGUUCUCCCUGAGACUUUAAGUCUCCUGAAGGAACGUUGAAGACGACGACGUUGAUAGGCCGGGUGUGUAAGCGCAGCGAUGCGUUGAGCUAACCGGUACUAAUGAACCGUGAGGCUUAACCUUACAACGCCGAAG